UUAGAAAGCUGACGUGGAGUGAAAGAGACAUAAGAAAAGAAUAGUAGAAGGAAAAAGACAGGUUUCAAGGAAAUUCAAAAGCACGUGAAAAGAUUAGCGAAGAUCAUUUACAGCAAAGGUACAUGACUUCAGUAAUGGAAUCCCUGAAAUCUCCUGUGUAAUCUUCAAGUUCGCUGCUACUCUUUACGUGUGCAUUGAGGCCAAUCACCCCCAAAGCCUUUCAGAAAGGAAUUAAGCUUGCUUAUAACCAUCACUCCAGUAAAUCUGGUAAAGUAAAAAAUUAAAGUAAAACUAAUUAGAUGUAGCUUUGUGAGAAAGAGUUGCUUUAUUUGUUAAAAUACAUGUAAUGGUAAACAACUUAGCCUGCAAUAAGUAUGUGUUAUGGAUUGAUAGAAUGCAGAAUUAACAUGUAGUCUACAUUAUUGCACUUCUAUAAGACAAAGUGUAUAAUUACAGAAAACACAUGAUCUUUUUCAGACUGAUACAUGCACAUGUAGAAAUAAACCUGCUGCAUCCAUCCCUAAUCAUAAUAUCACAGUAUUGUGUUGUGCUCUAUGCUUCAUACCCUGGUGAAAAUCUUUGGAGGAUCUUUGAAGAUUUGCAUGAGGACCUUUGAGGAUCCUCCCAAGGAUCUUCAUGGAGAUCUUUAAGAAAUCUUUGAGGAUCUUAACAAUUCUUGUUAAGAUCUUCAAGGAUCUUUCAUUUUCUUGCCGAGAUCCUCAAGGAUCUUUCAUUUU
rnacentral:misc_RNA from 1 species